rnacentral:lncRNA from 1 species
GGGACUGUUGAACUUCUUUUAUUGUUUGAAUUGUUCAUAGAGUCAGCCUCUAAGGGUCACUCCCGGCUUUGCUUAGUUCCUUUUUCUUUUGGCUUUUCAGCUGGCAUUUGUGUCCACUGUGAUUGCCAGCAUUUGGUGCAGUGGGUGAAGCAAGUCUUAUUUGAAAAUCUGCCAGAGACAGCCGGUGGGAGCUGGUGCAAGAGGAAGCAGCUCGAGGGGUGGCUGCUUUGUCCCAGUUCUCAAACACAGAGGGAGCCAUCCUGGGGCAGAAAGAGGAAGUGGCCUGCACCAGCCCCACCCCCCACCUCAGCCCUCCAUCCCUCAGCCCUCCAGAAGCUUCUCUUCCCUAACCAGUUUUCUGCAGAGCUCUUGUGCCUGAAAAAUAAUCACUUUUCUUGAGAAAAAUAAUCCCUAACUAUAUGGCCUCGAGGAAGCUGAUGAGUAAUCAGGGGAUGAUGGUUGACAGAGAGGAGACAUAGCUCCUCCCUGAUGGAAAGCUGGAGAGGGGAGCUGUUUCCUGUCUAACUAGUGCCCCAUUUCCCACUUCCAGGCUCCGUGGCUCAGCUGAAUUAGAAGCCAAACUAAAAAGGAUAUCUGGGGUACACCCCGGGGUAUCGCAGCAGGAUCUAAGACUUCCUCAUACAACAGCAGGAUACUAUUAUUGAGAAACGUAGAGAGGCCCAGAACCUCUUAAGAAACAGUAAAUCAGUAUUCAGGCAGCAUCUUAAAGUAGCAAGCGGAUGUGGAAUACAUUUUAGAAGGAUUUUGGUUCAGUGGUAAAGAAUCCGCCUGCCAAUGAAGAAGACUCAGGAGCUGCAGGUUCCAUCCCUGGGUCAGGAGGAUCCCCUGGAGUAGCAAGUGGCGACCCACUCCAGUAUUCUUGCUUGGAAAAUCCCAAGGACAGAGGAGCCUUGUGGGCUAUAGUCCAUGAGAUCACAAAAAGUCAGACACCUGAACGUUCACGCGCACACACACAUACAUAUCAAAAAGUGGCUAACAUAUUGUAAAAGAGAGCUCCUGCUUUCAAGUAUUAAAGAAUUUUUAAAAUUCCUUUUCCCUCUUGAAAUGCACAAACACCAUCAUCAUCAUCAUUAUCCAUUAUCCAGGCCAUCAUUAUCCUGAAAUUUUAGAAACCUGGUGACAAAGAGUAAAUCUGUUCCUUUAUUCAUACCUUCAACAAAUCUUGUGCUGUGUUCUAGGCACAAUAGGCUACAUUAGUGAAGCCCCCACAGAGAUUAAGUUGUAAUAAAUAAGUAAAUUCUAUGCAGUCCACCCUUUGUAUCUGUGGGUUCCACAUCCACAGAUUGAACCAACCUCAGAUUAAAAAUAUUUGGAAAGGGAGUUCCCUAGUGGUCCAGUGGUUAGGACGCCACACUUCUACUACAGGACUACCAAGAACAUGCUUCAGUUCAGUUGCUCAGUCCUGUCCAACUCUUUGAAACCCCAUGGAGUGCAGCAGACCAGGCUUCCCUGUCUAUCACCACUCCCAGAGCUUGCUCAAACUCAUGUCCAUUGAGUCACUGAUGCCAU